CCUACGGGAGGCAGCAGUAGGGAAUAUUGCUCAAUGGGGGAAACCCUGAAGCAGCAACGCCGCGUGGAGGAUGAAGGUUUUCGGAUUGUAAACCCCUUUUGUUAGGGAAGAUAAUGACGGUACCUAACGAAUAAGCACCGUCUAACUCCGGGCCAGCAGCCGCGGUAAUACGGAGGGUGCAGGCGUUACUCGGAAUCACUGGGCGUAAAGGGCGUGUAGGCGGGUUAGCAAGUCAGAUGUGAAAUCCUAUGGCUUAACCAUAGAACUGCAGUUGAAACUGUUAUUCUAGAGUAUGGGAGAGGUAGGUGGAAUUCGUGGUGUAGGGGUGAAAUGCGUAGAGAUCAAGAGGAAUACUGAUUGCGAAGGCGGCCUGCUGGAACAUAACUGACGCUGAUGCGCGAAAGCGUGGGGAGCAAACAGGAUUAGAUACCCGGGUAGUC
rnacentral:rRNA from 1 species